rnacentral:rRNA from 1 species
AACGAACGCUGGCGGCAUGCCUAACACAUGCAAGUCGAACGAAACGUCCGGGUCUAUUGGCGCACGGGGGCGUAAGGCGUGGGAACCUGCCCUUGGGUUCGGAAUAACUCUCCGAAAGGGGUGCUAAUACCGGAUAAUGUCUUCGGACCAAAGAUUUAUCGCGUUUGGAUGGGCGCGCGUGGGAUUCGCUGGUUGGUAGGGUAAUAGCCUACCAAGGGGAGGAUCCAUAGCUGGCAUGAGAGGAUGAUCAGCAACACUGGGACUGAGACACGGCCCAGAAUCCUACGCGAGGGAGGAGUGGGGAAUAGUGGAAAAUGGGGGGAGGCCUGAUCGAGCAAGGCCGGGUGAGUGAUGAAGGCCUUAGGGAAGUAAAGCUCUUUUACCCGGGAUGAUAAUGACGGUACCGGGUGAAUAAGCCCCGGCUAACUACGUG